rnacentral:rRNA from 1 species
UACAGAGGGGGCAAGCGUUAAUCGGAAUUACUGGGCGUAAAGCGUGCGUAGGCGGUUAGGUAAGUCGGGUGUGAAAGCCCCGGGCUCAACCUGGGAAUUGCAUUCGAGACUGCGUAGCUAGGGUGCGGAAGAGGGAAGCGGAAUUUCCGGUGUAGCGGUGAAAUGCGUAGAUAUCGGAAGGAACACCAGUGGCGAAAGCGGCUUCCUGGUCCAGCACCGACGUUCAGGCACGAAAGCGUGGGGAGCAAACAGG